ACUGAAGAGGCCUCCGUCGGUCUUUCAACCUUGCCUACCGUACCCUUUUUGUUGUUCCCUCGGCGCGGCAUAGCCCGCCGGCGGGAAGCUCGAAAAACCCCUUUUGCAAUAAGCAUCCAAAAAUUCUGAUUGCGUACCUAAUCGUUA
rnacentral:misc_RNA from 1 species